GCAGCCGCGUCCCCUCCUCCAGGGGCCGGGAAUGGCGGCGUCCGGCUCCCCGGGGCCAACUCCGAGUCCCGGCCCGGGGAGGACGCCCGCGGAGCCCGCCGCCGCCGGCCCCUCACGGCGGGAGCUGAGGAAUGGAAGUUACCUCAGUACGGUCCCGACUGCUAGGCUGUGGGCAGCGGACAGAGCUGGCGGUCCCGGGCGGCCGAGCAGAUCCGGCGCGGCGCGGCGCGGCGGCGGCGGCGGCUACCGCAGUGCCCUCCGCCCCAUUGUUUCCCUUCCAAGAGGAUCCCGGCGAAGCCGAGCCCGGGAACCAGGAAGUUCCCCGGCGCGACACCUCCUGCCGCCGCUAUGGAAACGGCCCCCGCCUCCCAGGGCGGCUCGCCCGGGACCCCGCCUCCGCGCCUCCGGCCCCGCCCGCCUCACCGGCCGCCGCCAACCGUCACCGCAGCGGCCGCAGCCGCCGCCAUAUUGGCGCGGCCCCUUCCCGGCGGCACGUGCGCUCCGCUCCCGCACUCCCGCCGUGCGCGCUCCCGCCCGCCUCGGGGACGCGCGCCCAGGGCUGCAGGUGCCCGGAGCCCCUCGGCGGGAAGCGGGCGCUGGAAGCCCAGGACCCAAAGCGGGGCUUCGGGGCACGCAAACGAGCGACAUUGGCGUGUCCAGCCGGCAGGUCAGAGGAUAGCAGAGACGUAGGGAGGUCAGCUGAGUAGGGGGCGAGAGGAUGGUCUCCGGAGCCAGCCUGGCUUUUUUUUUUUUUUCAUUUCUGCCUCAACUACUUACCAGGUGUCAGCCCUUGGACACUUUUCCCUGUGCCUCAGUUUCUUCAUCUGUAAAGUGGAAUGAUAAUAGGACCUGCCUCAUGGGGCUGUCCUGGAACAAGCGAGUGCUUGGUAGUAAGUGCAAAGCUCAAUAAAAUGCCAUUGCUACUGA
rnacentral:lncRNA from 1 species